rnacentral:rRNA from 1 species
CCUACGGGUGGCAGCAGUGAGGAAUAUUGGUCAAUGGGCGAGAGCCUGAACCAGCCAAGUCGCGUGAAGGAUGACGGCCCUACGGGUUGUAAACUUCUUUUGUCAGGGAGCAAUUGAGUCCACGUGUGGGCGUAGCGAGAGUACCUGAAGAAAAAGCAUCGGCUAACUCCGUGCCAGCAGCCGCGGUAAUACGGAGGAUUCAAGCGUUAUCCGGAUUUAUUGGGUUUAAAGGGUGCGUAGGCGGUCGGAUAAGUUAGAGGUGAAAUCCCGAGGCUCAACUUCGGAAUUGCCUCUGAUACUGUUCGGCUAGAGAGUAGUUGCGGUAGGCGGAAUGUAUGGUGUAGAGGUGAAAUGCUUAGAGAUCAUACAGAACACCGAUUGCGAAGGCAGCUUACCAAGCUACUUCUGACGUUGAGGCACGAAAGCGUGGGGAGCAAACAGGAUUAGAUACCCCGGUAGUC